CCAUCCGUGGACCGGUGCGGGCGAGCUCGACAGCAGUGGCAUCAAAUCUCACCCCCCUUCACCCAUGCUCCGUUCUUCAGUGCUUCAGAUGGUGACCCGUAUUAGCCUCACGUCGAGAGGAACCCACACGCGAUGGCGACAAUGAACUUCGAUGGCAGCGGCACUUAGCGGAAGAGAAUGGUAUGCAUGGGAGCCUCAGAUGUACCCCCACGAGGUCUGCUGCAGGUGGUGAGGAGAGGAAGUAGGGGCGCGGUGGAGGGAGCACGCCAUGGGAAUCCGGGAGGGCCAGCCAAGCCGCCUAGGCCAGGAGCACCCACCACGGAUGAACGGCGCCGCCCAGCCAUGGG
rnacentral:lncRNA from 7 species